UGAUGAUGAGGACGACGACGACAAAGAGGCUCAGGAAGACGUGGGCGAAAAUGCGAUUAGAAACUUUAAAAAAUCAAUUUUUCCGUCUCAUCGUUAUUCCUAGAUCGCUCAAGAGGCACAAAUUGCUCUUAAUUGCAAAAAGGCGCCUCUUAACGAGACCCUAAAUUUUCGGAGGAAAAGCUUUCGUAAUCCUUGGACAUUCGAUGAUUAUGAUUAUUAUCAUUAUUAUUAUUAUUAUCAUUUGUAGUGGUAGUGGUGCUAUAUAGUAGUAGUGGUGGUGGUGGUGGUGGUAGUGCAUCCAUUAACAACCCAUGAGGAGGAAGGGAUCUAAAGAGGCUAGCUGUUCUAGGAAGUGUUGAUGGGUUUUAAAGCUUCCCUUAAGAGCUCCAAGGCCCCUCUCAGUGCCUCAGCUUUCCUUUUCUAUUUAUAUUCUCCAUCUCAUCUGUCCUAGGCGCCGACCUGUAGGUGCACUCGUCUUAUGGGGGGUCACUUAACAGAUGGCGCGAAAGUCACUUCCGGAAUGUGUUCAUUAAGUCAGGAGUAUGGUAUAAUACAACUUACUGUGGGAAAAGUAGGUAUUUAAUUAAUGUGGACUUGACCGUUAUGUACUACUCUGACACUUGCGUAUUACUGUGCAGGUGUUGGCCGCGCAAAACAUCUAUGUGGAGGAUGACUGCGUUGUGCGUGGGCAGGAGUGAACAGAGGAGGCCGUCAGGCUGAAGACUCCCGACGGGCCGAGUGCCUCCCACCAGCAUCCACCCACGCACCGUCCUCAGCCGUCAGCCCACGCAUCACCGACCCACCAACCUCAGCCUUUUGUUCUUCACCCGCCGCCUACCACUACCUCUCAGCUCCCAAGAUCUCUGCAACGCCAUCAGGGCCUCGUAUUCAGGGAAGGAUCAUGGAGAGGGAAGGCAUUACAGGAGACUACCAAUGGAUCAAUCAAGCGGUAGAAUAUCACAGAGUUGACAAGCAAGGGAUGAAAUGUGAUUGGAUGGAAUGUUUGAGCCACUUUUGCCAUUGCCACACAAGCCUUUGAGGAAGGUUCUUGCGCCGGGAUAGGGCAAGAGAGACUUGACAACAAAUUAUCUCUACCACUAUAGUUGCUUUGGAAUGAGCAGCAUGAUUCAGAUGUGGUGUAUGGAUAGAAGGACGAUGAUCUGAGGCCAAGGAAGUGUCCAAGAAAAUUACCAAGAAAGGAGACCCAACUACAUCACCUGCCAGGCUCCACAGUAGUGGUGCCCCUUCCCCCCUCACUGCAUUAGGGGAGGAGGGGCGCACUUAACCACUGACACAGCGAACCUGCCUGUGUGACUAGCUUGUGAUGGCUGGUUGUCUACAAGGGCAUGUGUAAGAGUUGGACUCUCCCCACAAAAAUUUAGUGGAUUUUUAAGUUUUUUUUUUUUUUUUUUUUUACCAGCUUUGUAAUUAGCUGUUGAUUUUUACUCAGUGAAACUCACUCCCUGAAUAAUUCCUUCCUACUCCAGCCUGGCUUUCUCUCCUUGUAAUAAGUCUGCCCUGUCCAUCCCAAGCAAUGCAAAUGACCUACCCAUACCCAGUUGUCCCCUCCCACAGGACCUGGUGUAUCAAACACCCAUGGGUCAAUUGAAUAGAAUAAGAGAAAUCUAUAAGAUCUGGUGUUGUGUUGGUUACGUGAUACCAGUGGUAAAGUUUGUCACAUUGGUAGACCAACCAAUAACCUCAUAUCUACUAAGUGUUUCAGAGGCCAUGAGGCAUCAUUUUUCCCAGACAUCAUCUAAACAAACUGUUGUACCAGUAUGGUAUUUUGGCACAGCUUUAUUGACACCUUGCCCUAAUUUUCUGGUAAUAUAGUGCAUAGCCAAAGGUGGUUAAUUAAGGCAUUUACUCUUGACCCUGAUAGGGUAGCCUGGCAUGGCCAUCUAGACAUAUGGCUGGGUGAUGGUCCGGCUCCUGCAAUGGCGCAUAACUCAAGGGUGUAAACCCGGCCUCGACCAAACAAGCAGUAAGGCAAACAGACAAGGAUCUACAUAAAGCAAGGGAAGUCGUAAGACAUGUGGCCAAGGGAAGCAUGACGUUUAUACCCACCCACUACCUUCACUCCUGCUUUACCCUUCCUCUCUCUCUCACAUUCAUUAUACAUAGGUAAUGGGAAUUCAGAGGGAAUGGGAAGAAGGAACUAGCAAGUGAGAAAUUGCAGGACAGUGGCCAGAGGGAGAUGUAAAGGAGUAAAGUGGAGGAAAUACUUGGAAGAGCAAGAGCACAGAUAGAACACAGUGAAGGAGGUUUAUGAGGAUUUUAAAAGUUCAGUGGUCAGGGCAACUGAGGAAGUAGUCGGGUAUAGGUCGUAUGGAAAAGGAAAGAAAGGAGUGCGUGGUGGACGGAUGAGACAAAAGAGGCAGUUGAGAAAAGAAGGAACUAUAAGAAAAUGUUAGAGAAAUGUGACAGAGGAAGUGAGAGGGAGAUGGGAGAGAAAAUACAGGGAGAGUAAGAUGUUGGUAAAGAAAUUGGUUAGGGAAAGUAAACAGAGUGGAGCUGAUGGCAUAACAGCAUAAGUGUUGAAGUAAGGAGGAGGUGUAGUUAUGGAAUGGAUAUUAUGGAUAUGUAACCUACCAUGGGAACGGAGUGAGGUGCCAGAGGAUUGGAAAAAGGCUAUUGUUGUGCUGCUGUACAAAGGGAAAGUGAGCAGAGGUGAUUUUAAUAGUUACAGGGGAGUAAGUCUACUCAGUGUGGCAGGAAAAGUGUAUGGAAGGGUUUUAAAUGAGAUGAUGAAGAAAAUAACUGAAAAAAGUGUAGGCAAUGAACAAGAGGGUUUGAGGAAAGGGAGGGGUUGUGUAGACCAAAUAUUUGCACUCAAAAUGUUAGUUGAAAAAUUCAUAGAGAAGGAUAGGAAGCUGUUUGCUGCAUUCAUGGAUCUGGAGAAGGUAUAUGACAGGGUUGACAGGAAGGGGUUGUGGGAGGGCAUUUGCUGGAGGGAAUCCGAUCCUUCUAUAAGGAUGCAAGUGCCUCUGUAGGCGUGAAGGGUGAGUUGAGUGAGAGUUUUGGUGUUGGUGUGGGUGUGAGACAGGGAUGUGUGAUGUCACCAUGGCUUUUUAAGGUGUACAUGGAUGGUUGUAUGAGAGAAAUGAAAGCCAGAGUGGGGGAGCUUGGUCCAAGGCUGAAAGUAAGUGGUAUGGAGGAGUCACUGGUUGUGGGCCUGUUUACAGAUGAUACAGUGUUGUUGGCAGAGAAUGAGGGGACACUGCAGAGGGUAGUGGAUGAGUUUAACAGUGUGUGUAAGAGGAGAAAGCUGAUAGUGAAUGCUGGAAAGAGUAAGGUUAUGGUAUUUGAGAGGGCGAGAGAACAGGUCAUUGAUUUUGCAAAGCAAUACAGAGUUAGAGCAGGGGGUACAACAAAGUGUAGGAUAAGGUUAGGGGAGGAGAGAAUGGAGGAGGUGACUGAUUUAAAUAUUUAGGGACUGUUUUUUGUAAGCAUGGCAGUAUGGAAGGUGAGGUGGGGGAAAGAGCAGUGAAAGGGUGCAUUGGAGAGAUUUAUGAAAGGAAGAAACGUGAGCAUGGAGAUAAAGAGGAGAAUAAGGAAUAGUAUUAUCCUGCCAACUCUGUCAUAUGCGUCAGAGACAUGGACAUGGAAUGCAGCACAGCAAUCGAGAAUACGUGCAGUGAAAAUGAGUUAUAUAAGAGGUGCAUGUGGUGUGUCCGGAUGGGGUGGAGAAAGUAAUGAAAGCGUGUAUGAGCGGUUUGGUAUGGGUGUGACAGUGAAAGGAGUGGAGUGUGGAGUGGUGGACUGGGUGAAGCAUGGUGCACUGAGAUGGUUUGGAGAUGUGAUGAGAAUGGGGGAGAAUGAAUUCGUGAAGAGUGUAUGAGGGAAGGAUUGAGGGAGGGGGGGUCAGGGGAAGACCACCUGUGAGGUGGAUCAAAAGGGUGAGUGAGUAUUGGAGCGAGAGAGUUGGAAGUAGCAGGAUUGAAUGUGUUGCAAGGGAGUGCCAGAACAGGGAGAGAUAGAGACACUUCUGCCGCGGCCACCCCCUGGAGGGAAGUUUCUGCAAAGAAGCAAGGCAUCGAAGAUAUAGAUAGAUAGAUAGAAUUCAGCCAUGCACAUGUUACUUUUCUAUAGUGACAGAUAAUUUGAAAGUAUAUGCCAAGUAUGGUAGGGUGGUUUAUACUAACAACCAUGAUUCCUGUUCCAGCAUGGUCGGUCGCUUUAAGGUGUCCCACCCUUACCCCUUUCUGACCUCUACCCAACCUCCUGUAAGUGACCAUGCCUCAGCUGCCCUAUCCCAACAGACUUCCAACAUAGCCUCUGGAAAUGGAGGCCAAAAAGUUUUCAUUGAUAUAUAAUUCCACCACAAAGAUCAUAACUAUAGUACUUGAGAAAUGGCCAGCCAUGCUAGAACAGUUAUCACGGUUGUCAGCAUAAACCACCCUACCAUACUCCGUAUAUACUUUUGAAUUAUCUGCCACUAUAGAAAAGUAACAUGUGCAUGGCUGAAUUACACAUGCAUAAUGCAUGUGAUAGAGAGAGAGGGGGGAAGGAGAAGUGGAGGAAGGGUAAGGCAGGAGUGGAGGUAGUGGGUGGGUAUAGACAUCACAGCAACAUCACACUUCCCUCGUUCAUACGUCUAGAUGGCCAUGCCAGGCUUCGCCCAUCAGGGUCAAGAGUAAAUGCCUUAAUUAACCACCUUUGGCUAUGCACUAUAUUGCCAAAACUUAGGGCAGGGUCGUGUAGUGCGGCGACGGCCUGAUGAACGAGCCUCCCAUAACCCACUUAGCCAGUGGGGUACCUCUUUGGCCGACUCGGUAAGGAGUGGCUCUCCCGUCACGCUGGUCGCGGGUUCAAUCCCAGGCAGCCGGCGAAUACCCUGAUCUUGAUUAAUUUCUCGUGUUAUUUCGAUACACGCAGAGGCCGUGUUGAGAAAUAGGAAGGAUUUAGAAAAGAAGCUCGUCGGGGCAUUACAGUGUUAAAGAAGCUGUGCCAAAAUACCAAACCAAUACAACAGUUUGUUUAGAAGACAUUUGCGAAAAACGAUUCCUCACGGCCUCUGAAACGCUUAGCAGAUUUCACUAAUCCUAGUCAAUCAACCCAUAGGUGUAAGAUCCUUUUCUUGCCACCUGUACAGUCUUGUAGGAGAAGUGUUCCAUCAGUCAGUUGCCUCGGUGAUUCCUUUGGAAAGCCUGGCUUACUCUCCCAUCAAGUGGCUGUGUCCCUCUUCUUCUUUCUCUCCUGUUUGCCUCAGCACAACCCUGACAUCACCUUGGUAAACAAACAUUGAAUUAGUUAGGAAACAUAUAAUAAAUAUAACUGUUGCAUAUUAUUGUGUCAAUUUUUAGCUUAUAUAGCAAACAAAGUGUGUUAAAUACAAAAGGUUGGAUCCCUCAGAUAUAGUCAUCCCCUUCUCAAUUGGGUCAUUAAAGUGAGGGUUCACUGUAAUAGUCAACUCAAAUAAAUAAAAAUUCUG